GACGAACGCUGGCGGCGUGCUUAACACAUGCAAGUCGAACGGAAAGGCCCUGCUUGCAGGGUCCUCGAGUGGCGAACGGGUGAGUAACACGUGGGGGAUCUGCCCUGCACUUCGGGAUAAGCUUGGGAAACUGGGUCUAAUACCGGAUAGGAGCCAUCUUUAGUGUGGUGGUUGGAAAGUUUUUUCGGUGUAGGAUGAGCUCGCGGCCUAUCAGCUUGUUGGUGGGGUAAUGGCCUACCAAGGCGGCGACGGGUAGCCGGCCUGAGAGGGUGUACGGCCACAUUGGGACUGAGAGACGGCCCAGACUCCGACGGGAGGCAGAAGUGGGGAAUAUUGCACAAGGGGCGCAAGCCUGAUGCAGCGACGCCGCGUGGGGGAUGAAGGCCUUCGGGUUGUAAACCCCUUUCGCUAGGGACGAAGCUUUUUUGUGACGGUACCUAGAUAAGAAGCACCGGCUAACUACGUG
rnacentral:rRNA from 1 species